rnacentral:lncRNA from 1 species
AUAAAGUGUAUGUCAACUCCAUACCAAAAUCUUCCUUCAUAUCAUUUUUUAUUUCCGUCACACUGUAUUUUCGUUUGUGGCCAUGCCAGCUAUCAACAUACUAAUUGCAUGAACCUUUGGAUAAAUCUUGUCCUUCACUGGGCAAGUAUGUUCAGGUAUGAAUCUUCUAAUUCUAAACAUUCCAGUGUCUCCCAUGGCUGAUGCACUCUUGAUUUGCAAAACAAUGUAUAACUGCAUCAAACAUGAUUAAAUGCAUUCAAAAUACAUAUCCAAAGUAAUAUUUAACAAAAUCAUAGUGAUAUAAAAUGUACGUACAUUUUUUUACUAGACCUUUUACUGCGCGUUCGAAACUUUUCCCUAAUUACAUAGUCUUUCAUGAUUGACUUUAAAAUUUUUUUGUCAAGUAAACCUGAUCGUCCUCAAUAUGAUUGUGAUGCGGGUCUGAGAUAAUAACCAACAGUAUCCAUCUCAAAAAAAUCUAAUGCUUGUGUAUCUUCACAAACCACCAAAGCUCCUUCAUUUGUUGUAUUUAUCACUAUUUGGAAGUUGUUACAACUGAUAUCUCUUUCAGCAACACAUAUAGAUGAACUUGCCAAGUUGUUCCCUACAACUUUAUCCAAAAUGCUUACAUAUAAAGGAAGACAAUUCAUGUCUUGUAUCAGUUUUUUCUGCAACAUAAACACCUUCAAACCCACAUCGUUAUGUAUUUUUAUCUGCCCUGCAUUAGCAGUGAUUUGAUAUCCCACUAAAAUACGUUUUCUGGUUAAAUCCACACUUAAGUGAGAUGUCAAAACAUCGUGCAGGUCAACGAAUGUUGCUAAUGUGCUCAACAGUAUAGCAUCAGUGACAUAUUCUUCGAAGUUCUUUUCGUACGUCCAUCGGCCAAAGUGCUUCACAAGGACUGGUAUGCUUCCCAUUUCUACUCGAUUUAAUCAAUAAAUAAACAAAUAUACAUAUUUGUCAGAUAUCACUUAUUUUAACACAUUAUUUACAGCUUUAAGUGCAGACAAAGUUACCCAACCAACAUCUCAAUUUAUAAAAUACAUUUAAACAAUAUUUGUUUAAAGUUACAUACAAAUACAACAAAAGUUUUCAACCAAAUACAGAAAAUACUCCAUCAAACGGAAGUAAAACAGGUAUGAUAUAUAUUUUCACAUAUACAUUUAUAUUCUCAAAUUCCGAAAAGCAAAACAAAAAUACAUAAGCAAUGUUAGAAUUUAAAAAAUACAUUUACACUACAUUUUCUUAAAGUAAAAUAUCUUUUCAAAUAUACAUUUAUACUAUAGAAUUCCGACAACACAGCAAAAAUACAUAUGCAGUGUUAACAUUAAGUAAAUAAAAAAUACAUAUGCAACAGAUAUUUUAUACUUUUGUAUGAGUUCAUAGAAUAUCAUCAAAAUCAACAAAUACAUUCGAUCAUUCAUUUAUAUAGUAUUUCAGGAAAAAAUUGAAUCAACUUCAAUUCGAAAGUUGUUUACGAUUUGUUCUACUCUUAAAACAAUCAAAAUAGCAACAAACGAUCCUCAAAACAAUAUUCGAAUACUGAUUUUUUUCCCAUUAAAACAACUUUAAAGCUGAAAUUUGCAACAACAACAAACCCAGUAUAUUCCCACAUAGUGGGGUGUGGGGAGGGUAGAAUGUACGCAGUCCAUACCACUACUUCUAGGGAGGUAGAGAGGCUGUUUCCGAUAGACUCCCAGCUCAAGACAAAAGACAUUAAACAGAAACAUCAAAAUCGUAGAACAUGAUACAAAUAAAAUAGGUACGACACUCGCAAUUAGAGAAAAGAAAAAAGAAAUACAUACGUAAAUCAAUAAUGAAAGCCAUAAAUAAAUAGAUAAAUACAUAAAUUUACCAACAAACGACAGGAAGUCCACCUACUUACUGACUACUACUACUCCAAACCCUUAGCCCUCUACUCUAAUGCUUUUCCUCCAUAACUUUCUAUCCAGAGUCAUGUCUUCAGUCAGCUGUAACUGCUCUAUGUUACAUUUAAUCACUUCUCUCCAGUAUUUUUUUGGUCUACCCCUACCCCGCUUGAAACCUUCUAAGGCCAACCUCUCACACCUACGAACUGGGGCAUCAGUGCCCCUCCUCAUCACAUGACCAAACCAUCUCAAUCUCACUUCCCGAAUUUUAUCCUCCACCGACACCACUCCCACUUACUCUUGAAUAAUUUCAUUCCUAACUCUAUCAGCCCUAGUGAAUCCACACAUCCAGCGUAACAUUCUCAUUUUCGCCACUUUCAACUUUUGGAUAUGAGAAUUCUUAAUCGGCCAACACUCUGCUCCAUACAACAUAGCAGGAUGGACUGCAACUCUAUGGAAUUUACCUUUCAGUUUGAGGGGCACCUUCUUAUCAUAUAAAAUUCCCGAAGCGAGCCUCCAUUUAAUCCAACCUGCCCCCAUGCGGUGAGAUACAUCCUCAUCUAUCUCUUCAUUCCCCUGAAUCGUAGACCCGAGAUACUUAAAACUAUUCCUCUUGCAAACCACAUGAGAAUCCAACUUUACUUCCACCUCCUCCUCUUGCCUCGAGUCAUUGAACUUGCACUCCAAGUACUCCGUUUUGGUCCUACUCAAUCGAAAAUCUUUAGACUCCAGAGUCUUUCUCCAAAUCUCUAGCUUAUCAUUAACCCCUUGUCGCGAUUCAUCAAUCAGAACUAUAUCAUCCGCGAACAGCAUACAUCAAGGCACCUCGCCUUGUAUAUUCUAUGUCAGCACAUCCAUCACCAAAGCGAAUAAAAAACGGACUAAGAGUUGAUCCCUAGUGCAACCCUAUCAAGACUGGGAAAUGCUCAGAAUCUCCUCCCACUGUCCUUACUCGAGUCUUCGCUCCCUCAUACAUGUCCUUAAUCGCUCUGAUAUACGCCAUCGGAAUCCCCCUCGCCUCCAAGCAACUCCAAAGAACCUUCCUAGAGACCUUGUCAUACGCCUUUUCCAGGUCUAUAAACACCAUGUAAAGAUCCCUCUUCCUCUCUCUAUACUGCAGCACCAGUCUCCGCACAAGGUGAAUUGCCUCAAUUGUGGAGCGACCAGGCAUAAAACCAAAUUGGUUCUCUGAAAUAGACACAAUCUUCCUCAAUUUCUGCUUCACCACCCUCUUCUAAAUCUUCACUUGUGACUCAACAACUUAAUACCCCGGUAGUUGUUGCAACUUUGAACGUCACCCUUGUUCUUAUAUAGAGGAAUCAUCGUACUCCAUCUCCACGCCUCGGGCAUCUUUGCUGACUUGAAAAUAUUGUUAAACAAGUUGGUCAGCCCCCGCAACCUUGACCCAUCAUAGAACUUCCAAAAAUCCACUGGAAUCUCAUCGGGCCCCGUCACCCUACCCCUUCGUAUCUUGCGAAUAGCCUCACUUACCUCCUCUACCCUAAAACGCCGACAAAAGCCAAAAUCUCUACACUUCCCGGAGUGCUCCAACUGUCCUAACACAACACCUCUGUCCCCCUCAUCAUUCAAGAGCCUAUGAAAAUUAGACUGUCAUCUAUCUUUAAUGAGGGCGUCGUCCACUAAAACUCUGUCAUCCUCCACCUUAAUGCACAUCACUUGAUCUAGAUCUCGACCCUUCCGCUCCCUAACCUUGGCAAGCCUAAACAACCUCUUCUCCCCUCUUUUCUCCUCUAACCCCUUAUACAAACUUUCAAAAAUUGCUGUCUUAGCCUCCGUAAUAAAUAACUUAGCCUCCUUUUGAGCUACCUUGUACUCCUCCUUGCUUACCCGCUUCUCUUCUUUAUCCUUACUCUUUACCAACUUAGUGUAAGCCGCCUUCUUUGUCUCCACCUUUUUCUCAACCUCUUCAUUCCACCACUAAUCCCCCGAUACCAGCCAGACUAUUUGCAAUAAAUACUUGAAUUCCAAUUUUACUGCUGCCUUGAAUCUAACUCGAACUUGUUUUUCAAUUUUUUCACAUACAAAUUACGUUCGACAACCAAAACUUGAUAGGUACAUCAGUAAUGGUAAAAAAAACGAACUGAAUAACAAAAAUGAUUAUGUACCUUAAACAGUAGUAAUGGUUGUAUUUUCAACUGAUAGUUGAAUUCAAACAAAUGGAACAGAUGAACCAACAAUUGAAUUUGAUUCAAUUAAAUUACUACAUCUUUUUGCAAUUGCUGUUGAUUUCGAAGAAGAAUCAGUCCUGUUUUAUUCAGCAAAACAGGGUAAGUUUCGAACAAAUUACUAAGAAAAGAUGCAGCUAUUAAUAGGGAAAAAUUAAAAUUUGAAUUCUCAAGUUAUAACGGAAGUCGCGUUUUUUAAGAGUUUUAAAUGGAAAAGGAAUCUACAUAAUUACUUGAUUGGUAAUUAUACCAUAUAUAGCUCAACUAAUUUCAGUUACUUAAAUGCAGUAAUUUUUUUGUACAUGUAUUUUUCCAGCAACAUUUUUUAAAAAUACAAAAUAUAAGUUGCUAUAAAAUGUAAUUAUCAAACUGUUGUUAUAAAACUAAUAAGUAGGCUCUUAAGUAUGCUAUAUCUGAAUUUUGCCCACUAAAUAAAGGAGAGGUUCGGAUCAAUACCUCUGCAGCUAUAUAGUAGCUCUACUGAAAUAGAAGGGCAGCUAAUGAGCCAAGCUGAUAUUUUUUUAGGAAAAAGGGUCCAAAAUAUCCUCUUUACUUUAAUUUAUUAGCUAGAUUUACCCUUAGUCAUACAUUAGGUUAAAUAUAUCCCUAUCAUUAGUAAACUUAACAAAAAUACCCCUAUAUUUAACACUCUUGCACAUGACUUAACAUUUGGGUGAGGUGGACGCCAUGUGGCAUGCCACCUCAUCAUCUAAUUUUUUUUGUCUUAAUGUUCUUUUUUCAUUUCCAAUUUUAAUUUUUUUUCUUUUCUUUUUCCGUUUCUCUUUAUCCAUUUACAAAGUCCCAAAUACAAAAAUAAAUUUUCUUUCUUCCUCUUUAUCUUUCUCUCCUCAAAUCUCAAGAAAUUAAUUGCGAAAAUACAUCUGCAUUAUUGCAAAUAAUGGAUUAUUGCUUAUUAUGAAACUAAGAAAAAAAAUGAAUAAGAUUGAUAGAAUUUGCGGAAAAUUAGCGUUUCGAAGUUUCAAUGAUUGUCAAGGCAAUUUUUAGCUUCUUCUUCGCCUUACUCUUUUUUUUUCUUUCAAUAAUCAGUUUUUCAAGAUAACAUUUCCAGUCCAGUUUGAGGUCACACUAUCAAAAAGAUUUAUUAUUUAUCUAUUUGUGUUAAAUCAUUUCAAACGGUGGUAUUAAGCACAUAUAUGCUUAUAUUUGUCAAAAUGACAAGCAUAAAUGGGAUAGAUAAUGAAUAAUUGAGAAUCUUAACUACAAGAUCUUGGUGGACACAUUAUGUCUAUACCAAACAUGAAGGAUCUCACCUCAGGGAUUGAAGUUUAUUGCUCCUUAGAUUUAAUGACCAAAACGUCUAGUGACAUAUUGAGGCUGUCUUAAGUAGAAUCAACCAAGAACCUGAAGAAAGUUAAUUCGUGUAAAUGUAUUAAGAAUGGAGGAUAUCAAUCGAUGGAAGAGUCUUAGAUUCUACAAGAUACAUAUCGCCUUAGCUUCAAUGGCUUUCUCCAAAUGAAGCUUGUACUUCAUCUCUAGCUGGAUUGAACUCCUC